CGCCUGGCCAAAAAAAAUGGUUUCUUGCUCGAACCACAUCGGUGUUGCUUAUUCCCUUUUUGAGGGGUACCUACAGAUGUUUUACUGAACACUUUAUUUCUUUUAAGCGGGUCAUAAAAUCUGAUUCGAUAUGUGAAUGAAAAUGGUUUCUAAAAUGUGGAUAUUGUGGUAAUAACAGAUGAGAGGCAUUUAUUUUAAUAUAUUAUGUUUAACAUUUUAAUAUAUUGUGCCUAGCAUUUAAAAAAAAUU
rnacentral:lncRNA from 1 species